rnacentral:rRNA from 1 species
UACGUAGGGGGCAAGCGUUGUCCGGAUUUAUUGGGCGUAAAGAGCGUGUAGGCGGCUUUACAGGUCCGUUGUGAAAACUCGAGGCUCAACCUCGAGACGCCGGUGGAAACCGUAAGGCUAGAGUCCGGAAGAGGAGAGUGGAAUUCCUGGUGUAGCGGUGAAAUGCGCAGAUAUCAGGAAGAACACCCGUGGCGAAGGCGCUCUGCUAGGCCGCAACUGACACUGAGGGACGAAAGCUAGGGGAGCGAAUGGG